AGGUGGUGCAUGGUUGUCGUCAGCUCGUGUCGUGAGAUGUUGGGUUAAGUCCCGCAACGAGCGCAACCCUUAAGCUUAGUUGCCAUCAUUAAGUUGGGCACUCUAAGUUGACUGCCGGUGACAAACCGGAGGAAGGUGGGGAUGACGUCAAAUCAUCAUGCCCCUUAUGAUUUGGGCUACACACGUGCUACAAUGGACAAUACAAAGGGCAGCGAAACCGCGAGGUCAAGCAAAUCCCAUAAAGUUGUUCUCAGUUCGGAUUGUAGUCUGCAACUCGACUACAUGAAGCUGGAAUCGCUAGUAAUCGUAGAUCAGCAUGCUACGGUGAAUACGUUCCCGGGUCUUGUACACACCGCCCGUCACACCACGAGAGUUUGUAACACCCGAAGCCGGUGGAGUAACCUUU
rnacentral:rRNA from 1 species